GACGAACGCUGGCGGCGUGCCUAAUACAUGCAAGUUGAGCGCUGAAGGUUGGUACUUGUACCAACUGGAUGAGCAGCGAACGGGUGAGUAACGCGUGGGGAAUCUGCCUUUGAGCGGGGGACAACAUUUGGAAACGAAUGCUAAUACCGCAUAAAAACUUUAAACACAAGAUUUAAGUUUGAAAGAUGCAAUUGCAUCACUCAAAGAUGAUCCCGCGUUGUAUUAGCUAGUUGGUGAGGUAAAGGCUCACCAAGGCGAUGAUACAUAGCCGACCUGAGAGGGUGGUCGGCCACAUUUGGACUGGGACACGGCCCAAACUCCUACGGGAGGCAGCAGUAGGGGAUCUUCGGCAAUGGACGAAAGUCUGACCGAGCAACUCCGCGUGAGUGAAGAAGGUUUUCGGAUCGUAAAACUCUGUUGGUAGAGAAGAACGUUGGUCAGGGUGGAAAGCUCAUCAAGUGACGGUAACUACCCAGUAAGGAACGGCUAACUACGUG
rnacentral:rRNA from 1 species